rfam:Bacillus ginsengihumi strain M2.11 NODE_55, whole genome shotgun sequence.
UGGGUAGUAUCUAUUAUCAGAACUAUACCAGUAGAUCAUAAGCAUAAAAUGGAAUAGGUUCUGCCUUGAUCCGAAAAGGACGGGGACAGAGGG